rnacentral:ncRNA from 1 species
GAUUGCAAAACACCCUCUCUGUAAUCGCGGCUG